rnacentral:rRNA from 1 species
AUGACUGCAGAGGAACGGGCGUCGAACGAAGGAGGAGAGCAACGACCGCAUAGGAACGGCCGUCGAACGCUUCUGGAGGCAUCUCUGACCGUGGACGGAACCGACGGAUUCGGUGUCAAGAGCGACCCUUUUUGGUUGUCCAGACUCCAGAGGCGAUUUACCCCCUCGAGCCUCAUCGGAAUCCGCUGCAACUUGAGCGUGGCUGUCGCUGCAUGUGGCUGUGGAGGUAGAUCGAGGCAGCCCCCCACUUCCUACAAGGGGUAUAUGCCCCCGUCCCCAUGGCUCUUCCCAAUGCAGUCACAUCAGUUUUUUAUACGUGCAAGUAGGCAAAGAGGUCUAGAGCAGAGCAGAGCAUUCUUCCUGCACAACCAUCCUCCUGUUCAGGCGUCCUAUCACAUAGCUCAGGAUGGACAAGGUGAAGAGCCAUGGCAGCAAGCAUCGGGGAGGAUCCGGAGGGCUGAGCAGGAUGCUGAGGCAGCACAAGGCCAGGCUCUAUAUCAUCCGCCGAUGCGUCAGUCGACGAUUCUAGCAAUCGAGCAGCAGGAGCAAGAUGGUGCUACAGGACAAGAUGGGUCGAGUUCAAGCUCAAGCUCAAGAGGUGGUGGCAACUUGAUUAUGCUAACCCAUGUUAUAAAAACUGACUCUCGGGGGAGGGGGGUUUACCAAGGGCAGGCAACUCUACAGCGACAACAACCAACUACAACAAAGACUACAUGCUCCCACCCUCCCUCGCGACCUGUAUGUGACCGCAAUGGCAACUGGGCCCUCCGGGAUACUCCUUCUAUGUACUGGCCACAACUCAACAUGUCUCGAGCGGCAACUAUGAGAACCAUGGCUCGAUGUGUCUUCGGCGGUGACUGUGACAACCACGACCCAAUCGUCUCAAAUGGGGCUUCAAUGUCACCGUCAAUGUCGGCGACCGCCAUGCUUUGCUACCAAGUUGUCGUCGACGGCGUCGUCGUCGGUUGGCUCAUAGCAUGGAAAGAAGUUGUGCGGGUCACAGUAGAGAGAAGUGUGGUGCUCGUGGUGGCCAGGGGAGGGGGGAGGCGGGCUACUGUUCAUCUCCCUUCCCCGGCUACUACUACUCCAACGGAAGCCAGUCAGAGUAUUGUCAUCAUGCAUUAUAAAACGAUCCUCCAAUUUGAGGACGACAUGAGCAAUAUCAUAUACUCCGACCGGACAGUUCCUCAACGAAAGGCGCCUAGCCUGGCCACCCACCCCCACAGCGAUUUGCCCCCUGGAGCGUCAUCGGAAUCCGCUGAAUGCAACUUGGGCGAGGCUGCCGCUGCAUGUGGUUACGGAGCUAGAGGCGGCUCCUCGCUUCCUACAAGGGGCAUCCCCAUCUCUCUGCCCAAUGUCGCAUCAGUACUAGCAGUGCAAGAAGCCAAGAACAGAGAGCCUUCCUGCUCACCUAGCUCAACCAGCCUCCUCCUGUUCAGCAAUCAGGAGCAACCGAGCAAGCUCGAGAUGGAGAACAAGAUGAAGAGCCAUGGCGGCAAGCACAAGGGGUCGGGAGGAUCAGGAGGGCUGAGCAGGAUGCUGAGGGAGCACAAGGCGAGGCUCUACAUCAUCCGCCGAUGCGUCGUCAUGCUCCUCUGCUCUUGA